AAAACGUGGGUCAGGAGAAAGAGAAAGAGACUCAGCAAAGAAUCUGGGCACCGACCUACCUAGAAUAACCAGAAACUCAAACAGAAAGAAGAGAUAGGGUCAAGAACCCAGUGUGCUGGCACAGGGAGACUUGGAUGAGAAGCUUCAGAGCUUUGCAAGCCAGGCUGUCAUCACACCAUGAUGGAAAACAUAGUCCAUCAUCUGAAAUCUUCAGAACUGGAAACUGACCACCAGGAAAUGGGCAUGUGGUGGUGAAAUGGCUGACCAUCCAGAAAUGAGACAACAUUGCUUCCACCCCUCCACCAAGGGAUGUUCCAACCAUCGCGGAGCGUCACCACAGAAACAUAUGCCGGUGUUCUCACCAGGGCUUCCUUAUGGUGCAAACAGAUGGGGAAGGUAAGACUAGGAGGGACUGAAGCCUGUUGAAGUUUGGUCUGCUGGUAUGUACUG